GACGAACGCUGGCGGCGUGCUUAACACAUGCAAGUCGAACGGAAAGGCCCUGCUCUUGUGGGGUGCUCGAGUGGCGAACGGGUGAGUAACACGUGAGAACCUGCCCUUGACUUUGGGAUAACUUCUGGAAACUGGGGCUAAUACCGGAUAGUAGCUUCUGCUGCAUGGUGGGGGUUUGAAAGUUUCGGCGGUUGGGGAUGGACUCGCGGCUUAUCACCUUGUUUGUGGGGGAGUGGCUUACCAAGGCUUUGACGGGUAGCCGGCCUGAGAGGGUGGCCGGCCACAUUGGGACUGAGAUACGGCCCAGACUCCAACGGGAGGCAGCAGUGGGGAAUAUUGCACAAUGGGCGGAAGCCUGAUGCAGCAACGCCGCGUGCGGGAUGACGGCCUUCGGGUUGUAAACCGCUUUCGCCUGUGACGAAGCGUGAGUGACGGUAAUGGGUAAAGAAGCACCGGCUAACUACGUG
rnacentral:rRNA from 1 species